AGAGCGUGUUAAAUGGCAGUCAAAGAAUAUUUUUUCCUGAGUGUGUGAAAGGACUCGUGUCAUCUUCUCUCUUUACCUUAAUAUCCCGAGAGACAUUUCUAUGAAGAAUCAUCCCGGAUAUCGUCUCUUUUUAUAGAGGAGGAAAUUAAAGAAGAGACGUUUCAGGAUGAUGCUCAUAUAAUGUCAGAGCUUUCUGUCUCCAUGGAGGAUGUCCGCUGCCAUCUGCUGACCAGACUCAGUCACUGCACAUAAAAUUGGAAAAGAAGCAGACAAGAAAGGAACCCUGUGUAUUGCCAGUGUCUGAAUGCUUCCGAAUUAAUUGAAAUGAAGAUGGAUGUUUCCAUUUAAGCACAAUCAUCGUGGAAUUAGGAUUGGAAGGGGAGAAAAGUUACAGCGUGGCUUGACAGAGUAUUGGAAAAAUAGAAAACAAGAACAAAAAUGCCACGUCAUUGAGUUAAUAACAAAAGGACAUCCAUCAUUUUUCCUCUUCUAAUGUGUAAACAAAGGGAAAAUAUUGAAAAUACCAAUAUUAAUUUAUCAUCCGUUAGUUGAGAAUAUCAUCAUAGAGUGCUCUAGGGAAGAAAUGACAAGUUUGAGCAUAAUGAUCUAAAAUCCAGGGAAAAUGAAUAAAUAGAUCUUUUAGGUUUGACCCUAAA